rnacentral:rRNA from 1 species
GGCUAACUUCGUGCCAGCAGCCGCGGUAAUACGAAGGGGGCUAGCGUUACUCGGAAUUAUUGGGCGUAAAGCGUGCGUAGGCUGCUUAGUAAGUCAAAAGUGAAAGCCUUGGGCUCAACCUAAGAAUUGCUUUUGAAACUACCAAGCUUGAGUACUGUAGGGGAUAGCGGAAUUCCUAGUGUAGGGGUGAAAUUCGUAGAUAUUAGGAGGAACACCGGAGGCGAAAGCGGUUAUCUGGACAGUUACUGACGCUGUUGCACGAAAGCGUGGGGAGCAAACAGGAUUAGAUACCCUGGUAGUCCACGCUGUAAACGAUGAGUGCUA